rnacentral:lncRNA from 1 species
CCAGAUUCAUGGGGCUUACUCCCAUAGCCGGACCCAUCAUCAUGCUUACUCCCGUAGCCGGACUCAUACUCGGGUUUCCUACCAUAGCCGGAUUCAAAUUCCGGCUUGCUGCCAUACCCAGACUCGUACUCGGGUUUCAUACCAUAUCCGGAUUCAAAUUCGGGUUUGCUUCCAUAUCCAGACUCGUACCCUGGUUUUCCACCAUAGCCAGAUUCAUAUUCCGGUUUCUGGCCAUAACCGGACUCAUAUUCGGGUUUUCGUCCAUACGCUGAUCCUCCAUACUCGGACUCAGUCCUACCACCAAAUCCGGAUUCACCCGACUCCGGUCUCCGCCCAUAUCCAGAGCCAUGCACCUCGGAAUCAGGUUUCCUGCCGUGCCCAGAUCCAUAUUCCUCCGACUCGGGUCUCUUUCCGUACCCAGAUCCAUAUUCCUGCGAAUCAGGCCUCUUCGCAUACCCAGAAGCAUAUUCAGAUUCGGGCCUCCCCGACCCAUAAGGUUCGGGCCUUCCCAUUCCAGGCUGAAACCCAUAAGCCGGCUGCGGCUGGGGCCUUCCUCCAUAACCCGACCCAUCCCCUGACCCGGGUACGAAACC